ensembl:misc_RNA 7SK 7SK RNA
GGAUAUGAGGGCUAUCUGCCUGUGACCUCUAUCACCCCAGUAAUCACCAGUGUUGAUUCAGAGGAUCUGCCUGGCUAGGCAGGUGUCCCCUUCCUCCCUGUUUCAUGUGCAUCCCUCUGCAAGCUGUGCACUCAGUUCAAGAGGAUGAACUUUCCCGAUAAAGGAUGACUGUUAUUCAGUCAAUGGUAUACCAAUAGCUGUACUCCCCCGCUGUAUCUUCCAAACAAACUCUCAAAUUGGGGCAGCCAGCCUCCAAGAUGGCUCUAAACCUCUUU